rnacentral:lncRNA from 1 species
AUGAACCCAUAUCUUAUGAUGAUUAUUAUGAAAUCUUGAUGUUUAUGGUUUUGAAAGAUGAAUUUACAUGUGUGGAGAUAUAAAGCAUGAAUCUUGAACGAUAUUUAUCAUGAUUUUGAUAUUUGGGUUGUGAAUCCCCAUUGAAAAUUGUGUUUUUUUGAGAAAGUGUGUGUCAUAAGCACGUUGAUGUUGAAUAUUUG